GAUGAACGCUGGCGGCGUGCCUAAUACAUGCAAGUCGAGCGAACAGACGAGGAGCUUGCUCCUCUGACGUUAGCGGCGGACGGGUGAGUAACACGUGGAUAACCUACCUAUAAGACUGGGAUAACUUCGGGAAACCGGAGCUAAUACCGGAUAAUAUAUUGAACCGCAUGGUUCAAUAGUGAAAGACGGUUUUGCUGUCACUUAUAGAUGGAUCCGCGCUGCAUUAGCUAGUUGGUAAGGUAACGGCUUACCAAGGCGACGAUGCGUAGCCGACCUGAGAGUGAGAGCGGCCACUCUGAAAGUGACACGCGGUCCAGACUCCUACGGGGGGCAGCAGUAGGGAAUCUUGCGAAAGGGGAGAAAGCCUGACGGAGCAACGCCGCGUGAGAGAUGAAGGUCCGCAGAUUGUAAAACUCUGUUAUUAGGGAAGAAUAAAUGUGUAAGUAACUAUGCAUGUUUUGACGGUACCUAAAGAGAAAGCCACGGCUAACUGCG
rnacentral:rRNA from 1 species